AUUGAACGCUGGCGGCAGGCCUAACACAUGCAAGUCGAGCGGAUGAAGGGAGCUUGCUCCUGGAUUCAGCGGCGGACGGGUGAGUAAUGCCUAGGAAUCUGCCUGGUAGUGGGGGAUAACGUCCGGAAACGGGCGCUAAUACCGCAUACGUCCUGAGGGAGAAAGUGGGGGAUCUUCGGACCUCACGCUAUCAGAUGAGCCUAGGUCGGAUUAGCUAGUUGGUGGGGUAAAGGCCUACCAAGGCGACGAUCCGUAACUGGUCUGAGAGGAUGAUCAGUCACACUGGAACUGAGACACGAUCCAGACUCCUACGGGAGGCAGCAGUGGGGAAUACUGGACAAUGGGCGAAAGCCUGAUCCAGCCAUGCCGCGUGUGUGAAGAAGGUCUUCGGAUUGUAAAGCACUUUAAGUUGGGAGGAAGGGCAGUAAGUUAAUACCUUGCUGUUUUGACGUUACCAACAGAAUAAGCACCGGCUAACUUCGUG
rnacentral:rRNA from 1 species